rnacentral:piRNA from 1 species
UGUCAAGUGUUCAGUGGCACAUGUCGC